AUAAGAAAUCUUCCAAGACCAGAGGAGCCAACUGAAUCUUCAAAUGUUGGCCGUGUAUUUGGGAAUAGAGUUGGUGCUUCAAGCAGCUGGAUGCCAUCAUUGACGCGCAUUUCUUCAGCCAAGUAAUUGGUAUGGAUCUGAAGUACAGGAUACACAGAAUGCAUUGCAGAUUUACCAAUGUCAUGAAGUUAGGAUUCGUGGAGUCCUUCAGUACCGGAUUGCAUUAUGUAUUUCUCUUAAGGAUUGAGUUACUUUCUAUUUUAUUGCUUUAAUUCCUUUGGAUCAAAGCCCUGGAUGUUCACCUGUGGAUCAGUUUUAACCUUGGUACCCAAGUCCAUCAGAGCGUGACCACACUAAAUCUGGUAUUGCAGACUAUUAUACAUGAUGCAAUGUAAAUGUGGAAGGGCUCACUGGAAGUCUGAUAUCAGGCCAACUUGCCCGUUGCAAGAAAUUCAUCUCUUUAUCAGUAUACAUGGG